rnacentral:rRNA from 1 species
AGUGAACGCUGGCGGUAGGCCUAACACAUGCAAGUCGAACGGCAGCACAGUAAGAGCUUGCUCUUACGGGUGGCGAGUGGCGGACGGGUGAGGAAUACAUCGGAAUCUACUUUUUCGUGGGGGAUAACGUAGGGAAACUUACGCUAAUACCGCAUACGACCUACGGGUGAAAGCAGGGGAUCUUCGGACCUUGCGCGAUUGAAUUAGCCGAUGUCGGAUUAGCUAGUUGGCGGGGUAAAGGCCCACCAAGGCGACGAUCCGUAGCUGGUCUGAGAGGAUGAUCAGCCACACUGGAACUGAGACACGGUCAAGACUCCUACGGGAGGCAGCAGUGGGGAAUAUUGGACAAUGGGCGCAAGCCUGACCCAGCCAUACCGCGUGGGUGAAGAAGGCCUUCGGGUUGUAAAGCCCUUUUGUUGGGAAAGAAAAGCAGCAGGUUAAUACCCCGCUGUUCUGACGGUACCCAAAGAAUAAGCACCGGCUAACUUCGUG